rnacentral:rRNA from 1 species
CCCUAUGGGGCGCAGCAGGCGCGAAAACUUUACAAUGCGGGCAACCGUGAUAAGGGAACCUCGAGUGCCUGUAUAUGCAGGCUGUCUGGGUGUCUAAAACACACCUAAAGAAAGGGCCGGGCAAGACCGGUGCCAGCCGCCGCGGUAAUACCGGCGGCUCGAGUGGUGGCCACUUUUAUUGGGCUUAAAGCGUUCGUAGCUGGGUUAUUAAGUCCCUUGGGAAAUCCGACGGCUUAACCGUCGGGCGUCUAAGGGAUACUGGCAAUCUUGGAACCGGGAGAGGUGAGGGGUACUUCGGGGGUAGGAGUGAAAUCCUGUAAUCCUCGAGGGACCACCUGUGGCGAAGGCGCCUCACCAGAACGGCUUCGACAGUGAGGGACGAAAGCUGGGGGAGCAAACCGGAUUAGAUACCCGGGUAGUCCCAGCCGUAAACGAUGUGCGUUAGGUGUAUCGGUGACCACGAGUCACCGAGGUGCCGAAGGGAAACCGUGAAACGUACCCGCCUGGGAAGUACGGUCGCAAGGCUGAAACUUAAAGGAAUUGGCGGGGGAGCACCACACCAGGUGGAGCCUGCGGUUUAAUUGGACUCAACGCCGGAAAUCUCACCGGAUAAGACAGCUGAAUGAUUGUCGGGCUGAAGACUCUACAUGACUAGCUGAGAGGAGGUGCAUGGCCGUCCUCAGUUCGUACUGUGAAGCAUCCUGUUAAGUCAGGCAACGAGCGAGACCCACGCCAACAGUUGCCAGCAUGGCCUCCGGGCUGAUGGGGACACUGUUGGGACCGCCUCUGCUAAAGAGGAGGAAGGAAUGGGCAACGGUAGGUCAGCAUGCCCCGAAUUAUCCGGGCUACACGCGGGCUACAAUGGGCAGGACAAUGGGUAUCGACACCGAAAGGUGAAGGCAAUCUCUUAAACCUGUCCGUAGUUCGGAUUGUGGGCUGUAACUCGCCCACAUGAAGCUGGAAUCUGUAGUAAUCGCGUUUCAACAUAACGCGGUGAAUGUGUCCCUGCUCCUUGCACUCACCGCCCGUC